rnacentral:rRNA from 1 species
GGAUUCCCCUAGUAGCGGCGAGCGAAGCGGGAAGAGCUCAAAUUUGUAAUCUGGCGUCCUCAGGGCGUCCGAGUUGUAAUCUAUAGAAGCGUUUUCCGUGCCGGACCGUGUCCAAGUCCCUUGGAACAGGGUAUCAAAGAGGGUGACAAUCCCGUACUUGACACGACGACCGGUGCUCUGUGAUACGUUUUCUACGAGUCGAGUUGUUUGGGAAUGCAGCUCAAAAUGGGUGGUAAAUUCCAUCUAAAGCUAAAUAUAGGCGAGAGACCGAUAGCGAACAAGUACCGUGAGGGAAAGAUGAAAAGCACUUUGGAAAGAGAGUUAAACAGUAUGUGAAAUUGUUGAAAGGGAAACGAUUGAAGUCAGUCAUGUCCAUUGGAUUCAGCUGGUUCUGCCAGUGUACUUCCUUUGGACGGGUCAACAUCAGUUUGAGCCGGUGGAUAAUGGCAGAGGGAAUGUGGCACCCCCGGGUGUGUUAUAGCCCUUUGUCGCAUACAUCGGCCCAGACUGAGGAAUGCAGCUCGCCUUUAUGGCCGGGGUUCGCCCACGUUCGAGCUUAGGAUGUUGGCAUAAUGGCUUUAAACGACCCGUCUUGAAACACGGACCAA